UACGAAGGGGGCUAGCGUUGCUCGGAAUGACUGGGCGUAAAGGGCGCGUAGGCGGCCACGCACGUCCGUUGUGAAAUCGCCCGGCUCAACUGGGCGGGGUCAGCGGAUACGGUGUGGCUAGAGCAAGCUAGGGGGCAAUGGAAUUCCCGGUGUAGUGGUGGAAUGCGUAGAUAUCGGGAGGAACACCAGUGGCGAAGGCGGUUGCCUGGAGCUUUGCUGACGCUGAUGCGCGAAAGCGUGGGGAGCGAUCCGG
rnacentral:rRNA from 1 species